CAGUAGCGGCGAGCGAACGGGGAGGAGCCCAGAGCCUGAAUCAGUGUGUGUGUUAGUGGAAGCGUCUGGAAAGGCGUGCGAUACAGGGUGACAGCCCCGUACACAAAAAUGCACAUAUUGUGAGCUCGAUGAGUAGGGCGGGACACGUGGUAUCCUGUCUGAAUAUGGGGGGACCAUCCUCCAAGGCUAAAUACUCCUGACUGACCGAUAGUGAACCAGUACCGUGAGGGAAAGGCGAAAAGAACCCCGGCGAGGGGAGUGAAAAAGAACCUGAAACCGUGUACGUACAAGCAGUGGGAGCCUCUUAAUGGGGUGACUGCGUACCUUUUGUAUAAUGGGUCAGCGACUUAUAUUCUGUAGCAAGGUUAACCGAAUAGGGGAGCCGAAGGGAAACCGAGUCUUAACUGGGCGUUAAGUUGCAGGGUAUAGACCCGAAACCCGGUGAUCUAGCCAUGGGCAGGUUGAAGGUUGGGUAACACUAACUGGAGGACCGAACCGACUAAUGUUGAAAAAUUAGCGGAUGACUUGUGGCUGGGGGUGAAAGGCCAAUCAAACCGGGAGAUAGCUGGUUCUCCCCGAAAGCUAUUUAGGUAGCGCCUCGUGAAUUCAUCUCCGGGGGUAGAGCACUGUUUCGGCAAGGGGGUCAUCCCGACUUACCAACCCGAUGCAAACUGCGAAUACCGGAGAAUGUUAUCACGGGAGACACACGGCGGGUGCUAACGUCCGUCGUGAAGAGGGAAACAACCCAGACCGCCAGCUAAGGUCCCAAAGUCAUGGUUAAGUGGGAAACGAUGUGGGAAGGCCCAGACAGCCAGGAUGUUGGCUUAGAAGCAGCCAUCAUUUAAAGAAAGCGUAAUAGCUCACUGGUCGAGUCGGCCUGCGCGGAAGAUGUAACGGGGCUAAACCAUGCACCGAAGCUGCGGCAGCGACACUAUGUGUUGUUGGGUAGGGGAGCGUUCUGUAAGCCUGUGAAGGUGGCCUGUGAGGGUUGCUGGAGGUAUCAGAAGUGCGAAUGCUGACAUAAGUAACGAUAAAGCGGGUGAAAAGCCCGCUCGCCGGAAGACCAAGGGUUCCUGUCCAACGUUAAUCGGGGCAGGGUGAGUCGACCCCUAAGGCGAGGCCGAAAGGCGUAGUCGAUGGGAAACAGGUUAAUAUUCCUGUACUUGGUGUUACUGCGAAGGGGGGACGGAGAAGGCUAUGUUGGCCGGGCGACGGUUGUCCCGGUUUAAGCGUGUAGGCUGGUUUUCCAGGCAAAUCCGGAAAACCAAGGCUGAGGCGUGAUGACGAGGCACUACGGUGCUGAAGCGACAAAUGCCCUGCUUCCAGGAAAAGCCUCUAAGCAUCAGGUAACAUCAAAUCGUACCCCAAACCGACACAGGUGGUCAGGUAGAGAAUACCAAGGCGCUUGAGAGAACUCGGGUGAAGGAACUAGGCAAAAUGGUGCCGUAACUUCGGGAGAAGGCACGCUGAUAUGUAGGUGAAGCGACUUGCUCGUGGAGCUGAAAUCAGUCGAAGAUACCAGCUGGCUGCAACUGUUUAUUAAAAACACAGCACUGUGCAAACACGAAAGUGGACGUAUACGGUGUGACGCCUGCCCGGUGCCGGAAGGUUAAUUGAUGGGGUUAGCGGCAACGCGAAGCUCUUGAUCGAAGCCCCGGUAAACGGCGGCCGUAACUAUAACGGUCCUAAGGUAGCGAAAUUCCUUGUCGGGUAAGUUCCGACCUGCACGAAUGGCGUAAUGAUGGCCAGGCUGUCUCCACCCGAGACUCAGUGAAAUUGAACUCGCUGUGAAGAUGCAGUGUACCCGCGGCAAGACGGAAAGACCCCGUGAACCUUUACUAUAGCUUGACACUGAACAUUGAGCCUUGAUGUGUAGGAUAGGUGGGAGGCUUUGAAGUGUGGACGCCAGUCUGCAUGGAGCCGACCUUGAAAUACCACCCUUUAAUGUUUGAUGUUCUAACGUUGGCCCGUAAUCCGGGUUGCGGACAGUGUCUGGUGGGUAGUUUGACUGGGGCGGUCUCCUCCUAAAGAGUAACGGAGGAGCACGAAGGUUGGCUAAUCCUGGUCGGACAUCAGGAGGUUAGUGCAAUGGCAUAAGCCAGCUUGACUGCGAGCGUGACGGCGCGAGCAGGUGCGAAAGCAGGUCAUAGUGAUCCGGUGGUUCUGAAUGGAAGGGCCAUCGCUCAACGGAUAAAAGGUACUCCGGGGAUAACAGGCUGAUACCGCCCAAGAGUUCAUAUCGACGGCGGUGUUUGGCACCUCGAUGUCGGCUCAUCACAUCCUGGGGCUGAAGUAGGUCCCAAGGGUAUGGCUGUUCGCCAUUUAAAGUGGUACGCGAGCUGGGUUUAGAACGUCGUGAGACAGUUCGGUCCCUAUCUGCCGUGGGCGCUGGAGAACUGAGGGGGGCUGCUCCUAGUACGAGAGGACCGGAGUGGACGCAUCACUGGUGUUCGGGUUGUCAUGCCAAUGGCACUGCCCGGUAGCUAAAUGCGGAAGAGAUAAGUGCUGAAAGCAUCUAAGCACGAAACUUGCCCCGAGAUGAGUUCUCCCUGACUCCUUGAGAGUCCUGAAGGAACGUUGAAGACGACGACGUUGAUAGGCCGGGUGUGUAAGCGCAGCGAUGCGUUGAGCUAACCGGUACUAAUGAACCGUGAGGCUUAACCUU
rnacentral:rRNA from 1 species